GACGAACCGAGCGAACGUUAUUCGGAAUCACUGGGCUUAAAGGGUGCGUAGGCGGGCACGCGAGUCAGGGGUGAAAUCCCACGGCCCAACCGUGGAAGUGCCUCUGAUACCGCGGGCCUCGAGGGGGAUAGGGGCGUGCGGAACUUCCGGUGGAGCGGUGAAAUGCGUAGAUAUCGGAAGGAACACCGGUGGCGAAAGCGGCGCGCUGGAUCCCUACUGACGCUGAGGUGCGAAAGCGUGGGGAGCAAACAGG
rnacentral:rRNA from 1 species